UUUUGUUUUUUUUUUUUUGUUUUCUCCUCACCUGAGGAUAUUUUUCCCAUUGCUUUUCAGAGAGAGUGGAAAGGAGGGAGGAGGAGGAGAGAUGACGAGAGAGAGAGAGAGAGAGAGAGAGAGAGAGAGAGAGAGAGAGAGAUCAACUGAUUGCCUCCCUCACAUGAGCCAGGGAUUGAACCCGCAACCCAGGUACGUGCCCUUGUCUGGGAAUUGAACCCCAGAGCCUUCGAUGCACAGGCUGGCACGGUAACCAUGGAGCAACCCUGGCCAGGGCAAGGUAUGUACUUCUUAAUGGCCUCUCCUUUAACUUGAGGGCUGUGUGACAGGUUAAAGCAGGCUUUUCCAACAACCCCAAAUAUAAAGGGUCCUUACCGGCAGAGGCUAUUCAGUACCACAGCCACCAGCUGAGAAACAUCCUAGGGUCAAGCAGAUGAGGCAACUCAAACAUCACACAAAGUGCACCCCUUCCAGGUAGCCUCGGAGGCCCCUGAGUGCCGGCUUCCUAGGAACACAGCUUGGUGGUUGCAAUCCCAGUGCUCUCAGGGCUCAAGCAGGUCUUGUGGGUGGAGCGCAGUGGAACUUUCCUGUGUUGGAAAGAGGGGCUGGGCAGGAGGUGGGCAAGAUCCUCAGGUCUUCCCGGAGAAGUUGGAAAUGUGGAAUUUUAGGGAGAGUCUCCCAUCUCUCAAACAUCGGGAUCAAUUCAGACUUUUUGAGGGCCAAAGCCAACAUGCCUGUUAGCCAAAAUCAGCUUGCAGGAAUCUAGUUUGUGACCUCUGGUUUAAGGCAUGUUGAUAAAUGGAUUUAUUGGUAGUUCACUAAAUGGAAUCUGGGAUUUAUUUUAUUUUGGGGGGUAAGAUCAUAACUCACAAAAAGAAGUUACUUAUUCAUCAUUACUCAAGAGUUUGUUCAUCUUGCAAAAUAUGGGAAAUGUUGCUCUCUUGGGGCACAUGAUGCACGGUAGAGACAUCCGCGGGUUGGUAAUAUUUGCCGGGAUGGAUGGGAUUGUAGAAACAUGUUCUUUAAUGAACAGUUUUUGGUCUCCGUGUCCAGUUGUCUGAAAUUGCAAGGGAUUUCCUAAGUGGAGCAGUAGCAUGUAUGAGCAGGGGCCAUGAACUGAGGCCUACUCUCUGUAUUAUUCCAUUGAUCAGCCAACUUUUAGUCAAAGAAGUAGAAUCAUAGUGAGUGUGAUGGGAUUAAGGGAUUUACUCUAGAGAUCGGGUCUUCCUCAAAUAUGAGAGGGGCUGGGGAAGUGAAGGUCUUACAGAGCGGGAAGAGGGGGACGAGGAGUCAGAGGAUGAGAGGAUGUCUCCCUGGAGGCCACCAAAUAGGGUCCAGAGGAGGAAGCACAGGAGAGGUAUGUUUCCACCUCUACAGUCAGUAACCACGUGUCUAGCGGUGGGGCUGGGGCUACUGUUGGUCAGCAGGGUCACUAAUUGGGAAGACAAGGGGGUGUGUGCCUAAGUAAGCAAGGACAAAUGGAGAUUCACUGGGCACUUUCCACUUGUCCAUUGACCUUCUUACAGUUACAGACUGGACUUCACUUCUACUUUCCAAAUCUGGCACAAGCUCUUCAUAUGACCAACUGUGACUGGACCACAAGGGCAAGGGUAUUCUGUUAAACGGGAGUUCCCAGCUACCACGUUGACAGUAGUAACAUCAGUAUGCUCAAUGACCAAGAAUGACUGCAUCCGUAGGACUGUGCUACUGAGAAUUCCUGGAUUUUCUCCUCUGCCCUUAAAAGACUUCUUCCCACUCUGAAUCAUGGGACUGAAAUAACAGGAUUUGGGAAUCUUGCCUUGGCCAGGCCAAAAAUCACUGAGAGGCGAUUGUGCCCAGGAAGCAAACUGAAUUUACAGGAUGCUUCAGAGAUUUCAAAAAGGACCAAUCUCAAAACUGCAUGCUAACACGUGAACUGAGUUCAUUUUACUUAAUCAUGGCUGCAAUGCAUGGAUUAUUCUUUCUCUGCCAGUGUUGAUGGCAGGAGUUUCUUUACAUUCUUUCUGUGUGGUGUGAUGGAGAAGACGCUUGGCUUAUGAGCUAGGAAUGAGGUUUUAAACAACAUGAAGCAACACAGAACAUUUUCCCAUCAAAUUCAGAGUAGCAUAAUCUCCCUUCCUGGUUUUCACAUUUUGAAAUGGUUAAAAAACACACAGAGAAGAAUGUUUAUUCAUGUGAAAAUGAUAUGAAAUUCAAAUGUCAGUGUCCAUCAAUAAAGUUUUAUUGGAACCCAACCGCAUUCAUUCAUUCGCUUCUUAUCUCUGGCUGAUCUCCCCCCACAGUGGCAGAGUUGAGUCAUUGCAGUAGACACUGGUCCGCAAAGCUUGGAAUGUCUCCUAUCUGGUUCCUUACCAGAAAGUUUGCUUCCCCGAGGUGGGAGGCAGGCCGAGACUUGCGAACUAUCAGUAAGCGAAAGAGCGAUUUCCUCAAAGGUGCAAGGAUUACAGAUUGUUCUACUUCAGGACAAAAUGGUGAGGGCAAAAAUGCAAUGACAUAAAACAUAUAUAAUACUUUAUAUAGGUUUACCAUGUAUGUAUGGCUAAAGUGGAAUAAUCUGAAAUAAUAGUAGAAAAUGUCCUUUUCAAAGCCUGACAGUCACUAAGAACUAGGAGCUCCCUUCACACUCCCAGCCUCCUCCUUCCUUUAUCCAGUGUCUUUCCUUCCUUCCCAGGGCUAGUGGCGUUCAGCCCCGAGGGCAGCAAACUGUCACUUUACCUUGAGGUGAAUAAGUAGGCAGAAUUGGUCGUGACUUUGAAUGAAAAGCACACCAGACAGAUUGCAGUCCGUGGACCUUGGGAGGAACUGCUGGGCGAGAGGAACAUGGAGCAUUGACCUGUGGUGGGGGGUGUCACACGUGACACUAAGCGGACAGUGAGGGGGCUCCUGCCACCACAUGGCCAGCUCCACCUGCAGGGCUGUGUUUUUUCCCCCUUCACACACUUCUGGGUCACCUCACGUGGGUGCUUUCUAAACUGCCAACCCAGCGGCCAAAAAGAAAUACAAAGCUUCGCAUGAAGAUGAAGGCUCUUUGGCAAGGUCUUCCUCUGUCACGUAGCGAGCACGGCAAACAGAGAACUCCCUUCUUUUGGACGUAAGUUACAAUAUUUCCCCCCUCUUUUAUUACUUUCAAAGCUGGCAGCCUCAUAAGAGCAGCAUUCAAAUAGACUGCGAGAGGGACACGGCGUCGUGAAUGGGGUGUUUCUUGUCCUCCUGGCCCCCUUCCCUUUGUGCUGUCCCCGCACCGUGUAUUCACCACCUUGCGAGGUCGGAACUUUGCCAGUAACUGGAUUCUGGACCUUGUGGGUCCCUCUCUGAAUCUGCUGCUUGCCCAGUGAAAUGAGUUAAUCUCUUCUGUUUGUAGAAUAAAUCUAAUCAACUUGUUUUAGACUCAUUUAGAUGAUUCGUAUAUGUGGUCACUCACCUAAGCAAACGGGGGGGUCAUGCUGAUGCUGUGUACUCAUUACAGUUUGGGGUUUAAUGUGAAAUUUACCCACAUUGAUGAACGAUGUGCCUAGUUGGCCUUUUACGUUUUUUGCAGUUUUUUUUUUUUUUUAAAAGCUCUACUUUCGUAUCUUUCUCCUUUUUAAAAAUAUUUUCACAUGACCUUCCAGCCUGAAGCAGUUGGCUGUAAAGUGGUGGGGGUGUCACGCUGAACCUUUUAUAGCUUGGAUUUUUUUUUUUUUUUGGAAGAGUGGAUAACAGCUUUAGUUCUUCUUAUUGGCUUAUGAUAGUCUGGAAUUAUUUUAUAGAUUGUGUUCAGCUGCCAGCAUGGCGCUUGGCGAGAUUAAUUUGUGCAGCUUUCCAUUGGCUGAAUAGUAUUCAUUCUUCGGAUUCUUGUUCAGAAGGGAUUAGCCAAGUGAACUGGGAAACGUGCCUUUGCGGCAGAGUUUUCGCUGGUUGUGAUAAUCAAUGAACAAUCUGGUGGCUGAUUUAAUUCAAUUCUUACAGAACUAGCUGACUCAUUGGCUCUUAAUGCUUCUUAACUUCUGUAGUGUUUUCAUCUUCCGUUUCUUGCACAUAUAUCAGCAUCAUAGUGGACAACAUUGUUCAGAACUGAACAUUCCCCCUGGGGACCUGGCUCAGGUACUCAGCAUACAUAUCUUAUGAAAUGAGAUUCAAGGAAGUUGUUUUGGGCUGUCUGUGUUUGCUGCCUUUCUUCUAUGGGGAAAUAUUGCUUUGAAAAGGAAAAAUGAAUUUACUUUUUUUUUUUGUAAAGGGAGGGUUAAAACAAAAUUAAAAAUAAGACACGUGACAUCUUAGAGACCUGUAAAGGCGUAGAACUUUCAAAGCAUGGCUUUGGUAUUGCAUUAUUGAUAGGGCUAAAUAAUGUAUAGUGACGCCUGUGCCCUGUGGGGUGGUCACAGCCUGUUCUACCAAGAGGCCAGGUUUCUGUACAGAUCUACAGUUCAGCUUUGUGUAUCAGGGAAGUGACUGCAAAAGAGAGGGGUGAGUUUAGGAAAACUUUCCCCCUUCUUUGUUUUUCAAUUGUUUCCUCCUGGGCUUUGUUCAUCUGAACAAUGCAUUGACUUGCUUGAUGUAGGGGAGCUGGCUGCUUGCUUAUAAAUUGCAGUAAACAUGUCUUUUGGCUACCUGGGAGCAGAGGAGUAAAGGUCUCAGAUACUGGUAUGCGUGUAUAUAUCUUCCCAGCCUCAGUUUUAGCCUAAAUUUAAAUGACAGGUAAAUCUUGGGUUGCAAGAUUUAAUAAAUACAGGGUGGGCAGGUACAUUUGAAUUUCAGAUACACAGUGAAUGAUUUUUUUCAAAAAGUUUAUUUUUUAUUGAUUUCAAAGAGGAAGGGAAGAGGAGAGAGAGAUAGAAACAUCAAUGAUGAGAGAGAAUCAUUGAUUGGUUGCCUCCUGCAUGCGCCCCCUCCCCGCCACGGGAUUGAGCCCACAAUCUGGGCAUGUGCCCUUGACCAGAAUCGAACCUGGGACCCUUCAGUCUGCAGGCAGAUGCUCUAUCCACUGAGCCAAUCCGGCUAGGACCACAGGGAAUAAUUUUUAAAUACUUAAGUAUGCCCCUGUAUUUUAUCUGGCAACCCUAGGUACUAGUAAGUGUCAAGAGAGCCAGGAUUCUCUAUCCUGAGGGCACUCAAGUUAAAUCAGAGAUAAUUGUGAGUGGGAUGGAAGAAUGGGAGAGUGCCAUUUAUUAAGCAUUUUUCAUAUCAAGUCCUUUGUAUUUAGUCCUCCGCUUGUGAGGUGUGCAUUGUAAAUCCUUUAUACCUUGGAGGGUAAAAGUAACUAGCAUGUAAUGAGUGCCUUCCAUGUGCUGGGCACUGUUCUAAGAACUUAGAUGUUUUCAGUGCUGAAAAUAACCCGAUGAAGGUUAAGUACUAUUAGGAUUUCUUUUUAACAGACCUGGUGGGUGCAAACCGAGCUGAGGUCGUUUUCGAUGGCUAAGGGACUGUUUGGGGCUGAAGAACAAGGAUGCAUGGGAGUAUCUCACCUAAGGUCACAGAGUUAGAAAUUAGUGUAGCCAGAAUUCCAGUGCUGGUCCCUUCACUCCAGCAGUGUUUUGCUGCAUCUUUGAAGCCCCUGGGGGAGCUAUAACCGCCCCCCCCUCCGCUCCCCCCCUCCCCCUGAGACCUGGGCUCACCCCCAGAGUUGGGUUUCCCUGACCCGAGAGUGGCUUGGCCAUCCGAUUUUUAAAGCCUCCCCAGGCGAUUCUAAUGUGCAGCCCUGGUGGAAGGUGGCUGCUUUGCCCCUUUCUUGGAGGAAAACAGAUUAGUCUCUGGGAAAUCGAGUCGCUCUAUGUGGCCAUCCCUCCCCCUCCUCCCCAGAAACGCACCAUUCCAAAUCUGGCAGCUAAUUCUUCAUGGUCUUUGUUUCCUCAAAAUUAUUUUCAGGAAGUCCUGGUGAAUAUAUGUUGGGGGCUAAACAAACCACAAAAAAAAAGAACUCUUGGGGGUAUUCUGUUGAUGUAUUUUCUGAGCCGUCUUUUCAUUCCCAAUCCUCCCUUAUGCUUCCUGGAGGAGGGAAUGGCCUUUUGUUCUUCAUUUCGCUCCAGCUGGGCACCAGGCUGGGUGUCAGAGGAGGUUUCCAGAUGAAGAAAACUAGAGCCCUCCCCUCCAGGAGUUUUCAAUCUUGGAAGGGAAGUAUAUCUGUGUAAUUCUAGGUUUAAUUUUCUGAAACUCACUUCCGAGGAGUGCCAAGUAUGAAGUAAUUCAGAGGUGGCAGAGGCAGGGGAAGUGGCGCGGACAGGGCCCCUGCUGUCCGCAGUCUUGGUUUGAAUGCCUGCCCCGCCUCUAUCCCCUGUCCUCUCUGCCUCCAUGCCCGCCUUGGCAUGGGGGGCAUGCUAGUCCUUUGAUGGGAGGCCAGAGUCCAUUAGUGCCAGUGGACUGCACACAGCUGGCCCCGCCCAGGGUAUAGGCCGGUCAGCGUGAGCUGCAGCUUCUAUGCCUCUCUUAGUUUUCCAGAGGCCUUACUGACACGGAUGGUCCUAGUGGGUGACUGCGCUUUAGCGAGUGUUCCUUGAACUCACAGGAUCAAGGAUUUUCCUGAAUUGGUAGCCCCUGAGGAGUCAGGGAGGUGUGUGAAUGGGAAACCAAACACUUCUAGAAGAAUACGUGUGGCCCAUGGGAACUGAAAUGGGAUACCAUGGGACCCCCAGACUCUGGCUUGGAUAAGCCAGGAAGAAUGGGGGCCUUAACGAGCUUGAAGGCCACAGAAAUAGAAGGAGAGGAAGGCCUUUGGUGCAGGGUCUCCGGUCGGUAUUACAUAUGGUGCCUGAGGGGGAAAGAGGGAGACUGAGCCUGUCUUGAUGGUGACAUUCACAGAUGGAUGACACAGGAGAGGCUAAUUGUUAAAGGGGAAAUGAUGAUGAAUUGGGUUCUGGGCAAAGUUAUAGCGCAGCCUUCAUCGAAGGCAAAGCAGUGCCACAUUCCUCAUUAUUAUGCACAUGCUGUGAUUACACAUUUGGGGAUAAUGUAGAAUCUCUCCCUAACUUCCCCUCGCUUAAGAGCGCGAAUGAAGGAAGGUUCGCACCACUACUACCAUCCCAUCUGUCCUUUGUGGUGAACUUGUGCUUUCUUCUCUGAGUUUGUUUAGGUCUAAGUAUAAUACUUUGCAUAGGAAAUCGAUAAAUCUUCUAUUAUUGUUUGACCGAUGGGGCAAUUUCUUUAUUACCAGACAGUUCUGCAAGCAAUAAAUACUUCUAAUAUCCUGAGUAUAUUUAUUCCUAAAUGGGAGUUAGAGUAAUGAGGCAUUUACUAAUGCCAGGCUCAACUUAUAAUUCAGAAACAGACAGCAGAUGACUCGCACUGUUCCCACUCUCGAUUUUUAAGGUCAUGGGAAAGCUUUCGUUUUUUUGUUGCGAGCUCAAUACUUUGUGCACGACGUGUUGGGCCUUUUAGAAGAUCGCUAACACUUAAACAUGUUAUCUUUGCCAGUGUAGCCUGGGCCAGGGGUUGGCACACUUUUUCUGUGAAGAGCCAGAUAGUAAAUAUUUUAGGCUCUAUGGGCCAUACAGUCUCUGUCGCAAUGACUCAGCUUUGCUGUCAUCACAAGAAAACAGCCAUAGACAGUGUGUAAACAAAUGAGCUCUGCUAUGUUCCAGUAAAAGUUUGUUUAUGUAAGUGUGCCAUAGUCUGGAUUCGGCCCUCAGGCCGUAGCUUUCUGACUCCUUGGGUGACAGUAUGUGGGCCGUGGGGACAACAACUGUUGGUUUGAUUGGCCAGUUCUCAGCUGUGUGACAUAUCCACUCUGAUCUCUAAUAUUUCUCAGCUUUAAAGUGGGAUCAAUAGAAAAACCAGCAUUCUGAGGACUAUUUUGAUAUUAAGUGAGAUCACACCAGUGGUUUUGCAUAAUGACCAGCACAUGGGAAGGGCACAGAAAACGUUAGGUAAAGGCAAAAAACGACAACGUUCCUGUUUGUUCUGCAUCAUUUAAUAAUCCUGAUAUUCGAUUGCAGUCAUUUUAAGGUAAGGAGAGAUAGUGAGGCCAAAUUUUUGAAAGACCUCAUAGGUUCAGAAUGUGUACAGUGAACAUAUGUAAACUAGUUACCUGGUUUUUAACAGGCUAGAAAAAGUUGAUGAGAUCGUGGGAAGCUCCAUGUAGCUGAUAGUGUUUAUUCACCAGGAAGUUUUUUUUCUCAAAAAUUAUGUCAUUCCCUUUCUGGAAGUGAGUUAGACUUCAACCUAUUUUUUGCCAUAAAUAGGGGCUCUUCUGCCCCCAAAUAGCAGAAGUGUAAGGACUAAAAGGUUUUUUUCUGGAUAUGAAACGUAACAAGCACUUAUUGAGCGCCUGCUGUGUGCACAUUAUGUGAAGUGUCACUACUGCAGAGGAAGUCUCAUUAAUCAUGUGUGAGAAAUGGCUCACCUGUCCAAAUUUCAAAUGACGGACUGGGAAACAGAAACAUGGCAAAAAUGAGACUUUUAAUAACACUCUCAAGAGCGGGCAUCCAUUAUACAGGCACACGUGUGGGGCAGGGAACAUAGCCUAUUUAUUUAGUCCCUCUUCUGGUUCUUCAUUGGCUGAGUACUAUUUGGUCACCUGUUUCCUAAUACGUUGCCUAGGUCUUGCUGUCUCCCAUUGGGCCAUUUAAAAUGUUGGACAAAGACCUUUCUAGGUGUCUUCACCUCCCUUUGUUUAGGGUAAUCUUCCUGGAAAAUGUGUUAUCAGCCACAUGCACAGCUCUCAUACCCUCUCCCCACGCCCCACUUCCCGUUCCCCACAUCCUGUUUGCUCUGGGGAAAUUCAGUAACUGCCUGGCCACAUGGUAUUUCUUUCCUAUGAAGAUGAAUCAGAGGCAUGUGUCUUACAUCAUGGAGCUGGUAGUGGAGUUGGACGAGAAAUACACAUCUAUGUGAACCUGCCAGGCUCAAUGCUAAGACAGUAUGUAAAUAAGUGAGUGCUCAGGUGCACAAGGGGGCCAUGUAAAGUUGCUGAGAUUCAAUGUGAGAAAAAACGUCAUAUCAGAUAGUGUUAGCCAGUAGAAGCUUCAUGAAGGAAAGUCUGGAUGGGGGAAUUGUGUGUGUAAUUUAUCUUGUUGGUUAGAAAUAAUUCUGCCAGUUCCCCAUGGGCAUCGAGCUCUAAGUUUGGCAGGUAAAGUGUUUCCUCAUUUUCAAAACAGGGCACCGAAUCACCAAGGCAGGGAUAUAAAGGGUGAAACUUUGUGGUAACAACCCACAGGACAGUAAUGGCUCUAGGCAUUUGGUUUUGCUUCACACUUCAAAUAACCCAACAGUGAGGUUGACUUAUUUAUUCAUGAAAGCAUGCCCCAUUCAACUGCUGCUUGUGCCUGGAAUCCUUGCUGUGGGCGAUCUGGUGAGAACAGUGAUGGGGAGAUGGCGGGAAGGAGCAGUCCCCGCAGGAGGAUGGUGGGUCCACAGAUCAGGGAUGUAGGGCUGUUGGGCUCAUUGCCAUAUAUCUGGAGUAUUGGAACUGGUGUGCCAUAGAGUUGGAGCUCAAUACAUAUUCUCUGAGUAAAUGGGCAAAAGAAAUAUUUGAGGUAUGCCUGUUGCCCUGAAUUUGGUGUUAGGCAUACAAGAAGAGUAGUCUAAUGACAAAGUGGACAUAAAAGAAGUGAGAAUAAUUUAAUGGGGGCUGUGAUAGGUGUUGAGGUGGGCAUAGGUGAGAGAGCCAGGAAGGCUUCAGAGAUGGCAUUGUAUGAGCUUCGUCUUUAAGGAUGGGUGGGUUAUAUCAGGUGUACCAGGGCAAUGAGGACAGGGAAGGGCGUGAUCAGCAAGAGGAGUAGCAAAAGCCUGGUGGGGUUAAGGAACAAGGUGGAUUUGGGGACUACUUACAAGCCCCCAUGAUGACAGUGGAAGGCUCAUGAGAUGGGUAAUUGGUACACAUGCCCCAAACUCCUUCACAGGUGCUUUAUUGAUGUUCAUCAGGGCAAACUGUGAAGAAAGAGUUGGUAGGAGGGACCUUAUCCAUGCAGCUGGCCAGGUCCCCUCACCCAGCCCCAGGCUCAGCAGGUGACAGAUGUGAUAUUUGGCCAAUGUAUUUUUCAUUGUUUUGUUUUUUUAAAAAAUAUAUUUUUAUUGAUUUCAGAGAGGAAGAUAGAGGGAGAGAUAGAUAUUAAGUACAUCUAGCAUAAUUCUUCCAGCUGGUAGUAAUUGACAUGUUCUGCUUUAAAUAACAGCUACCAUUUAUCAAGGAACAUGGUUCAUGUGCCACACAUUGUUCUAAGGGCUUCACCUCCAAUCUUUGGUAUGGAUUUCUUACAAUAGUCCUGUGAGCUAGGUACCUGUAUCAUCCUUACCCCUGUUGCUUUGUGGCAAAGACCUUCUCUGUUUUCUCCCAUGCCUAGAAAGGUGCCUGGCCCAUCUGGUGUGGCUUGGUGGGUGGUUGAGCGUCAACCCAUGAACCAGGAGGUCAGGGUUCGAUUCCUGGUCAGGGCAAAUGCCUGGGUUGCGGGCUCAAUCCCCCAUGGAGAGCGUGCAGGAGGCAGCUGAUUAAUGAAUCUCUCUCAUCAUUGAGGUUUCUCUCUGUCCCUCUCAUUUCCUCUCUCUGAAAUCAAUAAAAAUAUAUUAAAAGAUAAAUAAAAAGGUGCCUGGCACAUCUGAAGUGCUGGGUUUUGAAUGGAUUCAUCGAGUGCAGACAUAGUUUGACCACAUCACAUCACACUGGUUCUGAGACUAGGACUGGACUUUUCACCCUGUACAUGUCAGCUGCCUAAUGCCUGGAGGAGGAAAUCCCAGUGGUCUUCAGACUUGAAGAUUCGUGGUUACUGUUCAAGUUGUGGAACGCCCUACACAAACACUUCUGGUCAUUUUCUACAAUGUUGUGGAUAAGAAAAUUUACAAUAAAUUUGAUAUUCUUUAGAAAUGGCCUUGCAUUUCAGACAUUUGUGACAAGAUAUGUGUAUACUUCUAAUUUGUGUAUGGAUAAUGCUUGCUUUGCAGGAAGACGGGGUGCCUUGCAAUAACCUGACCCCAACACUGACAGAUUGGGGAACUUGUGGCUUAGAACAUGAACUUCCUCUCUGGGAGUCUGGGUGAGGCCCGGGCCUGGGCUGACCUGAGGGUUGGAAAUUUAGUGGCUCAGCUCAGAGACCUCCUGUGAACAACUGUUUACUGCUUCCUGUUAAACAAGGACAGUUCUUUCCUUUCACAUAUUUUCUAAGGCUUUGUCCUCCAUACUGUGAGAAACAAGGAAGUUCUUUGCCCCAGGGAGCUUGUAGUCUGCUGGAGGAGACCAAACUCAUGGAAAUGGGGCAGAAUGUGGCAAGUGCCUUCAUAGAAGCUGCAGGAGCUUAGAGGAGAGAAGAGAUUGGCUUUGGGUGCCCCCCUCACACAUUUAUCUGUGGCCCUUCGAUCUGGACAAACACCACUAUUUUCUGCCUCAUUCCAGCUGCAGCGUGGGUGUUCUCGAUGGAUGCCAAAAGGAAAUGUCCACUGAUAACGCUGAACAUGGCACUGGCCCCUUAGACUUGCAGUCCAGUCUAUGGAAGCAAGGCAAAAACACAGACUAAGAGAAGAGGGUAAUGAAGGACUGAUGUGUGAUAUAAUCAGUAACCCAACAAAUGUGCCUAGCAUUUUCUCCCACCCUUAUCUCCCAAGAUAACCAAAAGAUGGCUUCAUAAAACAGUUUCCUGCAAUCUCCCAUCACUUUAAUUACUCUUGGGAUUCCCAUCUCCGGGGAACAAAGACACUUGUAGGGAGAAAGAGUUGCUGCAGAGUUUGGCAUGAGUCUGUAGUUUUAAGGUCUGGUAAUUAGACCAGCAGGGUGUUUUUUUGUUGUUGUUGUUGUUGUUUUUUUAACUAUGGAGCAAUUUGUUAAAAAUAAUGUUAAAAAAAAUACACCAAAAUCUGGUUACUUGCCAUAAUGGGAAGGAAGGAGGUUUCAGAGGUCAGACAUUGGGUCUUCCUACUUCUCAUUUGAGAUUUUUAUGAGCUAGAGAGCUUCUUCAUUAAAUCGCAGUUUCAGCGUGGCAGGGCUCUAUCCUGUGCUGCCAUAGAAUUUUUGAAAUCCAGGUACACUUCAGAAUGGGAGUGUGAAGUGGGCGUGCUAAGUGGACGUAGCGGAAGUGCUAUUAGUUGCCUGCCUGCUUUAGUAGUUUUGUUUUGUUUGUGUGUUCAUUUAUUUCUGGAAAAAACCAUCAAGCCUGCACAGUUAGUACCCCAUCUCACCGGCCCAGCCAAAGGAAGUUUUAGACCUUUUCAUCUUUACUCAUAAUUCAUGUGAAUUCUUGGUGCCUGCUGGGGUGUUCAGUGAAAAUAAUUCAUCAGCCAUUUCUUAAAAGAAAAAAAGUCUCAGUUUUCUGGCAUUUUGACUUGACAUAACCAGUUGGCGAUCUUUUCAUUGUACUUCUGGUUCUUAAAAUUGAGAUAGAUGAUAGGCUUAACCUUGGAGUAAAAAAAAAAAAAAAUAGCCAAUAAAUUAUCUGGGCAUAUCUAGCCCAACAUACAUUUUAAAAAAUAUAUACUUUCACUGUUCAGAAUUAGAUGAUGCCCAUUUAAAACUUAUGAAACCUUUAUUUCUAGAAUGAAGGAAUACAUCUUUUUUUU